rnacentral:tRNA from 1 species
GCGAGAGUGGCGGAAUUGGUAGACGCACUGGACUUAGGAUCCAGCGGCCGCGUCCGUGAGAGUUCGAGUCUCUCCUCUCGCACCA